AGAGUUUGAUCCUGGCUCAGAAUCAACGCUGGCGGCGUGCCUAACACAUGCAAGUCGAGCGAGAGGAAGUAGCAAUACUUUAGUAAAGCGGCGCACGGGUGAGUAACACGUGGAUAACCUGCCUCGAAGUGGGGAAUAACCCCGGGAAACCGGAGCUAAUACCGCAUAAUCUGACGAGAUCUGUGGAUUUUGUCAGCAAAGGAGCAAUUCGCUUUGAGAGGGGUCCGCGGCUGAUUAGCUAGUUGGUGAGGUAAUGGCUCACCAAGGCCACGAUCAGUAGCCGGUCUGAGAGGACGGUCGGCCACACUGGAACUGAGACACGGUCCAGACUCCUACGGGAGGCAGCAGUGGGGAAUUUUUCGCAAUGGGGGCAACCCUGACGAAGCAACGCCGCGUGGGUGAUGAAGUAUUUCGGUACGUAAAACCCUUUCGACGGGGACGAAACCGCAAGGUUGACGGUACCCGUAGAAGAAGCCCCGGCUAACUCCGUGCCAGCAGCCGCGGUAAUACGGGGGGGGCAAGCGUUGUUCGGAAUUACUGGGCGUAAAGGGCGCGUAGGCGGUUUGCUAAGUUGGAUGUGAAAACUCUGGGCUUAACCCAGAGCCUGCAUCCAAAACUGGCAAACUUGAGUACUGGAGGGGAAAGCGGAAUUCCUGGUGUAGCGGUGAAAUGCGUAGAUAUCAGGAGGAACACCGGUGGCGAAGGCGGCUUUCUGGACAGUAACUGACGCUGAGGCGCGAAAGCUAGGGGAGCAAACAGGAUUAGAUACCCUAGUAGUCC
rnacentral:rRNA from 1 species